GGCUCGGUGGCUUAGUUGGUAAAGCACGUGUCUAGCGAAUAAGGGUCGUGAGUUCAAAUCUCACCUGAGCUG
rfam:Aedes albopictus isolate Foshan contig110962, whole genome shotgun sequence.